rnacentral:rRNA from 1 species
GUUAUAUGGUCAAGUGAAGAAGCGCAUACGGUGGAUGCCUUGGCAGUCAGAGGCGAUGAAAGACGUGGUAGCCUGCGAAAAGCUUCGGGGAGUCGGCAAACAGACUGUGAUCCGGAGAUGUCUGAAUGGGGGAACCCAGCCAUCAUAAGAUGGUUAUCUUGUACUGAAUACAUAGGUGCAAGAGGCGAACCAGGGGAACUGAAACAUCUAAGUACCCUGAGGAAAAGAAAUCAACCGAGAUUCCCUUAGUAGUGGCGAGCGAACGGGGACCAGCCCUUAAGUUGUAUUGAGAUUAGCGGAACGUUCUGGAAAGGACGGCCAUAGUGGGUGAUAGCCCUGUACGCGAAAAUUCCUUUGCAAUGAAAUCGAGUAGGACGGGGCACGAGAAACCUUGUCUGAAUAUGGGGGGACCAUCCUCCAAGGCUAAAUACUACUGACUGACCGAUAGUGAACCAGUACCGUGAGGGAAAGGCGAAAAGAACCGCGGAGAGCGGAGUGAAAUAGAUCCUGAAACCGUAUGCGUACAAGCAGUGGGAGCCCACUUUGUUGGGUGACUGCGUACCUUUUGUAUAAUGGGUCAGCGACUUAUUUUCAGUGGCGAGCUUAACCGAAUAGGGGAGGCGUAGCGAAAGCGAGUCUUAAUAGGGCGUCUAGUCGCUGGGAAUAGACCCGAAACCGGGCGAUCUAUCCAUGGGCAGGUUGAAGGUUGGGUAACACUAACUGGAGGACCGAACCGACUACCGUUGAAAAGUUAGCGGAUGACCUGUGGAUCGGAGUGAAAGGCUAAUCAAGCUCGGAGAUAGCUGGUUCUCCUCGAAAGCUAUUUAGGUAGCGCCUCAUGUAUCACUGUAGGGGGUAGAGCAUCUCGGAGAUAGCUGGUUCUCCUCGAAAGCUAUUUAGGUAGCGCCUCAUGUAUCACUGUAGGGGGUAGAGCACUGUUUCGGCUAGGGGGUCAUCCCGACUUACCAAACCGAUGCAAACUCCGAAUACCUACAAGUGCCGAGCAUGGGAGACACACGGCGGGUGCUAACGUCCGUCGUGAAAAGGGAAACAACCCAGACCGUCAGCUAAGGUCCCAAAGUCAUGGUUAAGUGGGAAACGAUGUGGGAAGGCUUAGACAGCUAGGAGGUUGGCUUAGAAGCAGCCACCCUUUAAAGAAAGCGUAAUAGCUCACUAGUCGAGUCGGCCUGCGCGGAAGAUGUAACGGGGCUCAAACCAUGCACCGAAGCUACGGGUAUCAUCUUUUGAUGAUGCGGUAGAGGAGCGUUCUGUAAGCCUGUGAAGGUGAGUUGAGAAGCUUGCUGGAGGUAUCAGAAGUGCGAAUGCUGACAUGAGUAACGACAAUGGGUGUGAAAAACACCCACGCCGAAAGACCAAGGUUUCCUGCGCAACGUUAAUCGACGCAGGGUUAGUCGGUCCCUAAGGCGAGGCUGAAAAGCGUAGUCGAUGGAAAACAGGUUAAUAUUCCUGUACUUCUGGUUAUUGCGAUGGAGGGACGGAGAAGGCUAGGCCAGCCUGGCGUUGGUUGUCCAGGUUUAAGGUGGUAGGCUGAGAUCUUAGGUAAAUCCGGGAUCUUAAGGCCGAGAGCUGAUGACGAGUGUUCUUUAGAACACGAAGUGGUUGAUGCCAUGCUUCCAAGAAAAGCUUCUAAGCUUCAGGUAACCAGGAACCGUACCCCAAACCGACACAGGUGGUUGGGUAGAGAAUACCAAGGCGCUUGAGAGAACUCGGGUGAAGGAACUAGGCAAAAUGGCACCGUAACUUCGGGAGAAGGUGCGCCGGUGAGGGUGAAGCAUUUACUGCGUAAGCCCACGCCGGUCGAAGAUACCAGGCCGCUGCGACUGUUUAUUAAAAACACAGCACUCUGCAAACACGAAAGUGGACGUAUAGGGUGUGACGCCUGCCCGGUGCCGGAAGGUUAAUUGAUGGGGUUAGCGCAAGCGAAGCUCUUGAUCGAAGCCCCGGUAAACGGCGGCCGUAACUAUAACGGUCCUAAGGUAGCGAAAUUCCUUGUCGGGUAAGUUCCGACCUGCACGAAUGGCGUAACGAUGGCGGCGCUGUCUCCACCCGAGACUCAGUGAAAUUGAAAUCGCUGUGAAGAUGCAGUGUAUCCGCGGCUAGACGGAAAGACCCCGUGAACCUUUACUAUAGCUUUGCACUGGACUUUGAAUUUGCUUGUGUAGGAUAGGUGGGAGGCUUUGAAGCGUGGACGCCAGUCUGCGUGGAGCCAACCUUGAAAUACCACCCUGGCAACUUUGAGGUUCUAACUCAGGUCCGUUAUCCGGAUCGAGGACAGUGUAUGGUGGGUAGUUUGACUGGGGCGGUCUCCUCCUAAAGAGUAACGGAGGAGUACGAAGGUGCGCUCAGACCGGUCGGAAAUCGGUCGUAGAGUAUAAAGGCAAAAGCGCGCUUGACUGCGAGACAGACACGUCGAGCAGGUACGAAAGUAGGUCUUAGUGAUCCGGUGGUUCUGUAUGGAAGGGCCAUCGCUCAACGGAUAAAAGGUACUCCGGGGAUAACAGGCUGAUACCGCCCAAGAGUUCAUAUCGACGGCGGUGUUUGGCACCUCGAUGUCGGCUCAUCACAUCCUGGGGCUGAAGCCGGUCCCAAGGGUAUGGCUGUUCGCCAUUUAAAGUGGUACGCGAGCUGGGUUUAGAACGUCGUGAGACAGUUCGGUCCCUAUCUGCCGUGGACGUUUGAGAUUUGAGAGGGGCUGCUCCUAGUACGAGAGGACCGGAGUGGACGAACCUCUGGUGUUCCGGUUGUCACGCCAGUUUGAGAGGGGCUGCUCCUAGUACGAGAGGACCGGAGUGGACGAACCUCUGGUGUUCCGGUUGUCACGCCAGUGGCAUUGCCGGGUAGCUAUGUUCGGAAAAGAUAACCGCUGAAAGCAUCUAAGCGGGAAACUUGCCUCAAGAUGAGAUCUCACUGGAACCUUGAGUUCCCUAAAGGGCCGUCGAAGACUACGACGUUGGGAAACUUGCCUCAAGAUGAGAUCUCACUGGAACCUUGAGUUCCCUAAAGGGCCGUCGAAGACUACGACGUUGAUAGGUUGGGUGUGUAAGCGCUGUGAGGCGUUGAGCUAACCAAUACUAAUUGCCCGUGAGGCUUGACCAUAUAACACCCAAGCAAUU